UACGUAGGCAGCAAGCGUUGUUCGGAAUUACUGGGCGUAAGGAGUGUGUAGGCGGUGUUCUAAGUUUGUCGUGAAAUCUCCCGGCUUAACUGGGAGGGUGCGGCGAAAACUGGAAUGCUAGAGGAUGGGAGAGGUAAGCGGAAUUCCUGGUGUAGCGGUGAAAUGCGUAGAUAUCAGGAGGAACACCUGUGGUGUAGACAGCUUACUGGACCAUUUCUGACGCUGAGACACGAAAGCGUGGGUAGCAAACAGG
rnacentral:rRNA from 1 species